UAGAUUUUCAAUAAAUGCAGUUAAAAGUAAAAUUAUUUCUUCUUACCUAUAAAUUUAUGAAUGACAGUCUUUAUCACAGUUACGUAUAGAUGUACUUCUCUGUUU